CCUUUGCUUAGAUAACAUAUUACACAGAUGAAACCUCAAUAUUAUCAGAGAUUACUCGGAUCAAUCCACAGACUACCCAGUCAUAAAUAGUACUCUUGCCACAAGCCAAAUACAGACUAGUUAAACAUAUAAGACAUCCGCACCAGCUUAAAAUUAACGCACAUAACAGCGAGGCUAACCAAACGCCAUUUCCUUGGGCGCCUUAGUCUUUGUUUGUACCAACCGCAUUGACAUCUGAAUCAAGCGAUUCAAGCACCUCACGUACCGCCGCCUCCGCGUCCGCCUCCGCCGUCGCCUCACGGGCAGCUAAGUCUGAAUGGAGCACAUGGACAACCGUACCAGUCAAACAACCCAUGAAGCCAAUGGUAACCAAGGUCUGCUUCAUUUCGCCUGCC
rnacentral:lncRNA from 1 species